UUGAACGCUGGCGGCAGGCCUAACACAUGCAAGUCGAACGGUAACAGGAAGAAGCUUGCUUCUUUGCUGACGAGUGGCGGACGGGUGAGUAAUGUCUGGGAAACUGCCUGAUGGAGGGGGAUAACUACUGGAAACGGUAGCUAAUACCGCAUAACGUCGCAAGACCAAAGAGGGGGACCUUCGGGCCUCUUGCCAUCGGAUGUGCCCAGAUGGGAUUAGCUAGUAGGUGGGGUAACGGCUCACCUAGGCGACGAUCCCUAGCUGGUCUGAGAGGAUGACCAGCCACACUGGAACUGAGACACGGUCCAGACUCCUACGGGAGGCAGCAGUGGGGAAUAUUGCACAAUGGGCGCAAGCCUGAUGCAGCCAUGCCGCGUGUAUGAAGAAGGCCUUCGGGUUGUAAAGUACUUUCAGCGGGGAGGAAGGGAGUAAAGUUAAUACCUUUGCUCAUUGACGUUACCCGCAGAAGAAGCACCGGCUAACUCCGUGCCAGCAGCCGCGGUAAUACGGAGGGUGCAAGCGUUAAUCGGAAUUACUGGGCGUAAAGCGCACGCAGGCGGUUUGUUAAGUCAGAUGUGAAAUCCCCGGGCUCAACCUGGGAACUGCAUCUGAUACUGGCAAGCUUGAGUCUCGUAGAGGGGGGUAGAAUUCCAGGUGUAGCGGUGAAAUGCGUAGAGAUCUGGAGGAAUACCGGUGGCGAAGGCGGCCCCCUGGACGAAGACUGACGCUCAGGUUCGAAAGCGUGGGGAGCAAACAGGAUUAGAUACCCUGGUAGUCCACGCCGUAAACGAUGUCGACUUGGAGGUUGUGCCCUUGAGGCGUGGCUUCCGGAGCUAACGCGUUAAGUCGACCGCCUGGGGAGUACGGCCGCAAGGUUAAAACUCAAAUGAAUUGACGGGGGCCCGCACAAGCGGUGGAGCAUGUGGUUUAAUUCGAUGCAACGCGAAGAACCUUACCUGGUCUUGACAUCCACGGAAGUUUUCAGAGAUGAGAAUGUGCCUUCGGGAACCGUGAGACAGGUGCUGCAUGGCUGUCGUCAGCUCGUGUUGUGAAAUGUUGGGUUAAGUCCCGCAACGAGCGCAACCCUUAUCCUUUGUUGCCAGCGGUCCGGCCGGGAACUCAAAGGAGACUGCCAGUGAUAAACUGGAGGAAGGUGAGGAUGACGUCAAGUCAUCAUGGCCCUUACGACCAGGGCUACACACGUGCUACAAUGGCGCAUACAAAGAGAAGCGACCUCGCGAGAGCAAGCGGACCUCAUAAAGUGCGUCGUAGUCCGGAUUGGAGUCUGCAACUCGACUCCAUGAAGUCGGAAUCGCUAGUAAUCGUGGAUCAGAAUGCCACGGUGAAUACGUUCCCGGGCCUUGUACACACCGCCCGUCACACCAUGGGAGUGGGUUGCAAAAGAAGUAGGUAGCUUAACCUUCGGGAGGGCGCUUACCACUUUGUGAUUCAUGACUGGGGUG
rnacentral:rRNA from 1 species